GGGGAAUUAGCUCAGCUGAUAGAGCACUUGACCUGCACUCAAGAGGUCGUGAGUUUGAAUCUCAUAUUCUCCACCA
rnacentral:tRNA from 1 species